UUGUUUGUAUAUGUAGAUGGAACAUCGUAUGUGGAUGUACGAUAGGAAUAUUCCUAAUCGGCGGGGUUUAAGAGAUGAAUUUGUACAAGAGAAGCAGUGGAAAAGUUCGCUAGGAGUCAGCUGACCGAUGAGCAAAGCCAGCCAAUCAUGCCAUCGGAGGAAGGAACUCUCCCAUUGUGGUUGAACGUGGUUGGAGGCGUGUAUAAGGGUAGAGCAUACAACCUUUCCUCCGAGCGCAAUUUUCAUUGCCUCGCGUGUGGACUGCAAGGUAUUGGUACAUCCGCCACCGUGCAAAAUGAGGACCUUAGGAGAUGUGUCGAACGAUUCAACAACUUUCUAGGAACGGUGCAGAUGAACGAGAAAAAAAAACAUGAAGAGAAGAUUAGAGACGCACUUAGGAAUGACAUUGACUCCCUCAAGGCUCAAGUGAAUCACUUAAUUGGCCUGCCCCGCUCUCAGCUAAAAAGCCACAUUUAUGAAGAGGAUGAAAGUGACGGAAAUAAUACAAAUGAUGAAUAAGAUGAGGGGGAAUCCGAAGAUGAGUGAUUUUAUGUUUGGUUGGAUUGUUGUUUAGUUGGAUGUUAACUUUGAAUGUUACAUUUUGAUGCUUGGUUGGAUAGUUUUGAUGUUUGAUGGGAUAGUUUGGAUAUUUGGAUGUUUGAUGGGAUAAUUUGGAUGUUUGGAUAUAGUUUAUAAAGUUUUGUUGUUGUUAAGUUGAGUUUUA